UUUUCAAGCAGUCGGUUACUUGUGCAGGAGGCCAUGCAAGGUUGGAAUUAGAUAUCUAGAAGAUGGUACUAAAGUAAGAGUUUCUAGAGGUGAAGGAUCAUCUGGGUCCAUAAUUCCUCGUCCUGAGAUUUUAAAGAUAAGGACAACUCCAAGACCUACUGUUGCUGGUCCCAAGGAUACCCCAAUGGAUCUUGUGUGGAAGAAGACAUACGAUGCUAAAACCGGGAAGGGAAUGCCUGACCUGUGAGCAAAUCUUGUGCAUUUUUGUGGCAGACAUUAAGCAUGUUGAUGAGAAGUGUCGUGCAAUGUGAAAAAUAAUGAUUUUGUAAGGAAUUCAGCUCCCAGUUUUACCAUUUGAUUAGCACAUUCUAAAAGUGGGAUGUUUGGAUUAAUUUGUAAUCGCACAAAUGUAGCUGAUCUCCCUAUGUGUGGGUGUUUCUUGCCUGCGUUUAUGAUCCGUGGCCAAAACAGAGAUUAAUUUGAGCACUCGUAGAUGAAAUGUAAAGGUAGUGGGCUAAAGAAGUCACUGAUGCCGUUCAGGGGCUUUCAUUUAAUGCCAAUUUGAGAAGAGUUCUUAACUUGA